AUUGAUGUCAUGAUUGAGGAGCGGGAAUGUUUAUAACGCGAUGAUUUAUUUGGAGAUUACUUUUUAAAUUAUUUUUAUUUUAAUAUUCAUCACCGACAGCCAGUCAUUGCUGUCAUCGCAAGCAUGAUGUCAAUUAUCGAUUGACCACCCACAUUUAUUUUUGAUAUUAGACAUUUUUUCGAAAAUGUAAUAUUGGCAAAACGAGGGAGUACUGCUGCACGUUUUUGCGUCAAUAACAACAGUGACAAAAACGGUGACAACAGUAAACAACUCUAAAACGAGUGUGCUAAAGCCUUUAGCCAGCCGAGCUGUACACCGAAAAUGGAGGUGAAGCAGUUGGCAGCCAUCCCGUCCGCAAAUACUACAGCCACUGCCAGUCUGUCUUGGAAGAUUUGGCAUUGACAAAUUUGACCUAUCGUUCCAAACAGCAACCGCCAUUGCACCUGCUCAACGGACGACAGUGCAGAUUUUAAGACCGUUUCGCGUUGGACAAAAGGGACGUUGAAAGGACUCAAAAAAGAGCAUGAAUUGGUGUCAAAGGCGAGCGAUUCAUCCUGCAGCAAGAACAGUGACCCCUAAAACACUGCCUACGCAACCCAAGCAUUCAGCAAUAUGGGGAAAAGGGUAAAGUUUCGGACUGGCCAGGUCAGUCGCCUGAUUUAAAUCCAAUCGAGAGUGCAUUUCACUUGCUGAAGAGGAGACUGAAGACAGAAACCCCCCGAAACAAAGAUCAACUGAAAGUGGCUGCAGUGAAGGCCUGGAAAGGCAUUUUCAAAGAUUCCAAAUGAUUGGUGAUGUCAGUGGGCCGUAGACUUGGUGCAGUUAUUGCAUUUAAAGGCUGUGCAACCAAUACUGAGACAUUGCUGCCCUCAUUUACUUUUAAGUACCUCCAUUAACUUACUUUUGCACUGUUGACAAUGGAUCGACACAAAAACAGGUGUUAAAACUGUAAAACGUACACAUGUACAUACCAUGAAAUAAAAGCUGACUGUCUGCA